rnacentral:rRNA from 1 species
AAUACCGCAUACGUCUGUGAAGAGAAAGCGGGGGAUCGUAAGACCUCGCGCUAUUGGAUGAGCCAAAGUCGGAUUAGCUAGUUGGUAAGGUAAUGGCUCACCAAGGCGACAAUCCGUAGCUGGUCUGAGAGGACGACCAGCCACACCGGAACUGAGACACGGUCCGGACUCCUACGGGAGGCAGCAGUGGGGAAUAUUGGACAAUGGGGGAAACCCUGAUCCAGCGACGCCGCGUGUGUGAAGAAGGCCUGCGGGUUGUAAAGCACUUUUAGUGGGGACAAAAAGUCACGGGCGAAUACCCUGUGAUCUUGAUUUAACUCACAGAAAAAGCACCGGCUAACUCUGUGCCAGCAGCCGCGGUAAUACAGAGGGUGCGAGCGUUAGUCGGAAUUACUGGGCGUAAAGCGUGCGCAGGCGGUUCUAUAAGACAGAUGUGAAAUCCCCGGGCUCAACCUGGGAACUGCAUUUG